UGUAAUUGAGUUUUCCACUUGUGAUCAAGGCAAAAUUACGUUUGAUAGGUUAUUAGAAUAUGAGUGCUGUUAGGAAAAAAUAAUGUGAACAAAUGACAAAUUAUUAGCCUUUUGUUGGGAUUUUUAAAUUAACAUCUUAAUUUUUGCUUUGUUAAGACUUUAUAAAGAACGAUUAAGUCAGGUGGAUGCAAAACUACAAGAAGUCAUCGCUGGAAAAGCACCAGAAUAUUUGGAACCACUGGCAACUUUACAAGAAAAUAUGCAAAUACGAACAAAAGUAGCAGGAAUCUAUAGAGAGCUCUGCUUAGAAUCUGUAAAGAACAAAUAUGAAUGUGAAAUUCAAGCUUCUCGCCAGCAUUGUGAGGUAAUUGCAUCUCUUCAAGCCUUUUCUGAGUGUAGUAGUCUAAAAAAAGCAAAUAAAUAAGUAAAACAAAAUCACAUAGUACUUAGCUGAUCACUUGUGUGUGAGUUUAAAAAAAUAUAGUUGAAGCUGUAUUAGAAAAAGUACACAAAGCAGUGUAGAAGAGAGAUAAUUUUAGAGUUUUACAACUGUUACUUUAGAAAAACUGUAAUGAACAUGCCAUCUGGCAUCCCUGACAUUAUGAGUAUAAAUUUAGUAUGAUAUGAGAAGUCAGUCUAAAAAUGCAUAUUGAAUGGUACAAUUAGAAUGUUGGGGUAUAGAAUUAAUUUUUGAUCAUCUAGAUCUAUGUCCACGUUAGGGCAGCAUUCUCUUUAAGAAAAAAAUAGGUAUAUUUUUCUAUAUGUACUGUUUAUUUUGAAUAGUGUUUAAAAAUAGUGCUAGUUUUACAAAGUGCUUACUUUUCAUAAAACCUAGACAAAAUCAUAAUAGUCUUGGGCAAGUAAGAGGACAAGUUCGAUAGUGACUCUUGUUUCCAUUUAAUACACCAUAUGCUAAGAGGUAGGUAGGGAUAAAAGUGAUAGAGCCUGUUACUUUAUUUUGUUUUGUUUUAAGAUAGGGUCUCACUAUGUUGUCCAGAAUCACCUGGAACUUGCUAUGUAACCCAGAAUGAACUUGCUCUCAAGACCCACCUCCUGACUGCUGGGUGUGUGCCACCAUGCCUGUCUUAUUUUUGAUUACUAAUGAGAUGAAUAUCUUUUUGUUGUUUACUGGGAUUUCCUUUCCUAAGUAAGGCUUGUUUGUAUCUUUGGUGUUGGACUCUUGCUUGCUCUUUUCCUCAUUGACUAUAGAAGUUCUUUGUGUAUUUUGGAUAAAAAGGCUUUGCUGCUUACAUACUUUGCAAAUAUUUUUACCCAAGCAGUGGGGUCUUUUCACUCUUUGAUGAUUUGAAGCACAAAAGUUUUAUAUUUUAAUGCAGUUAAAGUUAUCAUCUUUCCCUCAUUGCAUGUGCAUCUUACUGUCUUCUCUAUUUAGG
rnacentral:lncRNA from 1 species